UAUAUAUUCUACAAGGAGUCAUGGUCAAGAUUUCAGCAAGAAGCAAUAUUAUCGUCACUCCCUGACAAACCAUUCCAUAAUUGUAUCAUACCCAGUACUGGAAGACACAGAAAUAAGGAAGACCCUCUCCUCAGAGAGGUCUACUGGGGCAAGGAGGAGAUAAGAUAAGGAGAACAAACAACUAUUGCCAUCAGAAAUGAAGGAGAUAGUUGCAGAGAAAACUGGGAAGAUUUGUAUGAAUUGAUGCAAAAUGAAUCUUGUUUUAAUAGAUGGAGCCAUACCACUCAUCAAUUUUCAAACCAAGUACUGAAAACUUUCCCAAAUACCAAGAUAUAACAGAAGAAGCCAAAGUCAUGUGGGAACAAGAUGAACUGGACAUCAGCCCUUUCAAACUCUCUGCUAACUGUCCCAAGGACACUUUUGACACUGGUCCAGUCAUAUUCGCAAAGACUUUUCCCAUCAAUUACCUCAUCUUUGCCUUACGCACAUUUUGAUACUCAUCCAUCCCUGAGGAUGUCAGAGCUGGAAUCAGCAGAUAGAAAAGGAAAUUGAUGUACCGCAUAGAUCAACAACUCACUCAAGGUCAAAUGGCAUGUUUGGGGCUUGAAAUGGACUGAGGUUAAGCAUCUUUGUGCUAUAUCAUGUUGAGACUUGUCUCCCUAAAGGUCUUCUAGAACUCUGGCAAAACUAACACAGACUGAGGAGAAGAGACAUCUUCUUAACGAGCAGAAGUGCAAGAGAGUGGAAACCUUGCUAGAUAUGGAGUCAAGAGAUCUGAAUUCAAACACUACCUCUUAGGACCCACCUGUGUGACUUUGAAAAACUCAUUGUAGUUCAUUUGACUUCACCAAGACUCAGUUUCCUGAUUUGUCUUUUAAAAAGGAUACUAAUACUUGUUCAAUUUCCCUGAUGGGAUUGCUGUGAGGAAAAAUGCUUUGUAUGCCUUAAAGUACUGCAGAUAUAGGACUUAAAUUGUUUUUAAAUGUCAGUGGUGUCCUUGCAAUAAACAAUCCUAGUCCUAGAGAGUGGACA
rnacentral:lncRNA from 1 species